AUUCCAGCUCCAAUAGCGUAUAUUAAAGUUGUUGCAGUUAAAAAGCUCGUAGUUGGAUGUGUGGUGGCUCGUGCGGUCCAAAAUGUUUUGGUGCUGUGCUGAGCUGCCAUCCUUGGGUGGAACCUGUGGGGCAUUAGGUUGUUCUGCAGGGGAUGCCCAUCGUUUACUGUGAAAAAAUUAGAGUGUUCAAAGCAGGCUUACGCCGUUGAAUAUAUUAGCAUGGAAUAAUGAGAUAGGACUUUGGUGCUAUUUUGUUGGUUUGCGCGCCGAAGUAAUGAUUAAUAGGGACAGUUGGGGGUAUUCGUAUUCCAUUGUCAGAGGUGAAAUUCUUGGAUUUCUGGAAGACGAACUACUGCGAAAGCAUUUACCAAGGAUGUUUUC
rnacentral:rRNA from 2 species